CCUACGGGAGGCAGCAGUGGGGAAUAUUGGGCAAUGGGCGCAAGCCUGACCCAGCAACGCCGCGUGAAGGAAGAAGGCUUUCGGGUUGUAAACUUCUUUUAACAGGGAAGAGAAGAAGACGGUACCUGUCGAAUAAGCCACGGCUUACUACGUGCCAGCAGCCGCGGUAAUACGUAGGUGGCAAGCGUUGUCCGGGUUUACUGGGUGUAAAGGGCGUGUAGGCGGGUUGACAAGUCAGAUGGGAAAUCCUGCGGCUUAACCCUAGAACUGCAUUUGAAACUGUUGAUCUUGAGUACUGGAGAGGUAGGCGGAAUGCGUGGUGUAGCGGUGAAAUGCGUAGAUAUUAGGAGGAACACCAGUGGCGAAGGCGGUCUGCUGGACCGCAACUGACGGUGAGGCGCGAAAGCGUGGGGAGCAAACAGGAUUAGAUACCCGAGUAGUC
rnacentral:rRNA from 1 species